rnacentral:tRNA from 1 species
GGAGGUAUAGCUCAGUGGUAGAGCUCAUGCUUAGCAGGUGUAAGGUCCUGGGUUCAGUCCCCAGUACCUCCA